GCUGGGCGCGGUGGUGCACGCCUGUAACCCCAGUGGCUUGGAAGGCUGAGACAGGAAGAUCACGAGUUCAAAGCCAGCCUCAGCAACUUAUUGAGGCACUAAGCCCCCAGUGAGACCCUGUCUCUA
rnacentral:sRNA from 1 species